UACGUAGGGUGCAAGCGUUGUCCGGAAUUAUUGGGCGUAAAGAGCUCGUAGGCGGUCUGUCGCGUCGAAAGUGAAAACUCAGGGCUUAACCCUGAGCCUGCUUCCGAUACGGGCAGACUAGAGGUAUGCAGGGGAGAACGGAAUUCCUGGUGUAGCGGUGAAAUGCGCAGAUAUCAGGAGGAACACCGGUGGCGAAGGCGGUUCUCUGGGCAUUACCUGACGCUGAGGAGCGAAAGUGUGGGGAGCGAACAGG
rnacentral:rRNA from 1 species